CAAGAAAGCCAUGUCCCAGCUUGGACUGGCUUAGGGCAAGAACAAAGAAGGACACCCAGAGAGGGGCAGCAGAGCUGACUGAUGUUUGAAGGACAGUCCAGAGUGAAGAGAAUAGAACAGAGCUUAUUAUCUGACAUUGGACAAGCGUUAAUCACUUUCUAGGCAGUUCCAAUCUUGGGCAUAGAGAGUGCAAAGCCACAAAAUGUAAACCAACUCAUAACAACCUUCUUGCUCCUUGUUGGCACACAGUGAGGGCCAGUCCACCAGUCCCACCUCUUCCGAUUCUCAGGUAGAGCGUUCUUCUUUGUGUCCAGCAUGGAAAGCCGUUUCUGACCAGCUCUUACCACACACUGUGAUCUCCUCGCUGUAACAGGUUGAGACCCGGUUGAUGUUUGGCAGCUGUACCAGAUGUUUCUUGGUUUCAUACAAAAGGUUCAAGACGUAGCGAGCAUGGAGCUGCUACUGGGAGGAAGAGGAGGGAAGGAAGAAAACAACACUGAUAUUCGUGAGGGAAAAUGGUCCUUACCUUUACUGCUUAACAACCCCCAUCACCUAAGACCCCAAAAGUAACCCCAGUAAACUGCUCCUGGGACUAUGCACGGAUUCUUUCUUUAUCACUCAACUUCUGCCCUUGUUUCUGCUUCUCAUCAUUCCCACUUGUCCC
rnacentral:lncRNA from 1 species